AUACGGAGGGUGCAAGCGUUACUCGGAAUCACUGGGCGUAAAGCGCGCGCAGGCGGUCUUUUAAGUUGGAUGUGAAAGCCUACGGCUCAACCGUAGAACUGCAUCCAAAACUAUUAGACUAGAGUGUGGGAGAGGAAGAUGGAAUUAGUUGUGUAGGGGUAAAAUCCGUAGAGAUAACUAGGAAUACCAAAAGCGAAGGCAAUCUUCUGGAACGCUACUGACGCUGAGGCGCGAAAGCGUGGGGAGCAAACAGGAUUAGAAACCCUAGUAGUCC
rnacentral:rRNA from 1 species